AACGCAUAUUGCACUCUCUGGUAUUCCGGAGAGUACACCUGUUUCAGUAUCAAAAAUGACAUCCAAAAUUUGGUUUGUUUUGCUUAGUCAGACAAUACCGAAUUUUUGGGAUUUGGGCUCUGCUGAAUUUUUGUUUGGCUAGUCUUAAAUAAUUUAGCCACAUUAUGAAAAGUUUUGGGUGAUAAGGCGUAAUAGUUGGGUACUCUUAGGGGUCCAUCCCUUUCGCUGAAGCCUGUCUUUUUUAAUGAAAAUUUGGCUCAAUAAAUAUGGGAAGAUUUGAAAAAUAUAAUUUUUCAACCAUUGUUUAGAUCUGAAAUCAGGUGGGACUACCCGCUGAACUUAA
rnacentral:misc_RNA from 1 species